rnacentral:ncRNA from 1 species
GCGCAGUGCUCUGAAUAUCAAAGUGAAGAAAUUCAAUGAAGCGCGGGUAAAUGGCGUGAGUAACUAUGACUCCCUCUCUUUGGGGUGUGACGAGGGGCGGACCAGGCAGCAUGGUCUGACUGCCCAAGCAAGUUCGG